AAAAACUUGCUUUUUUCAAAACUACUGUACUUAUUGAAAGUGAAUGUCUGGGCAAAACGGAAACUGUGCGGUGAAUACGAUUCCAUCAUUUUGUCUUUCUAGAUUGAAAUUGAACCGGAAAGAUGGGAAAAAGGCAAAAGAGAGAUAGCCGCAAGAAAAAGGUUCCGAAGACGUCAAGAAUUCAGAAGAAAAAAUAUUGGUCUGGAAGCAGAGGUUGAAAAGCUGCGAUUUGAAGCUUCCAAUAAUUCUCGCGGCGUGGAGCUUGAGCAACAACUCGAAUCUGAAUCACUGAAGAAUGAGCACGAACUUGUUCGCAAGAUGAUAAUUGAUGAUAUGGAGAAACUGGAGGCAUUUCCUUGUCUUCUAAUCAACUUUUUUUCUGACUUAUUCUCCCAAAAUCCUGCAAAUACCUCGUUCAGAUUUUUGUAUGUCCACUCAUCCGUUUACUCGCCAACACUAGGCAACUAAAUAAAACUACUGGUGGU
ensembl:ncRNA K09H11.16 ncRNA